rnacentral:lncRNA from 1 species
GUACAGGUGUAACAUUGUCGGUAGGGUGUGGCCGUAUGAUGGACAACAGACAACUCUCCUGCCUGCCUGAUGAAUACAGCGAUGUGAACCACAGAUGAAACAAGUUGACGAAAGCAUUUAUGGGCAAAAACCUCUAUAUGAAUGAAUGUGUUUGUGCAGUGCAACACAACACAAUGGCCACACACCAGGGUGUGGACACUUCCAUGCUCCGUAGCGCCAUCUGACGUCACUGCAACAUCGAUCACCUAUGCUCAACGCUGUGUUCAAUGGUAACGGACCGUCAGUGUGUUUUUUCCUGUAAAACCUGAAGGCAGACUACAGAAAAGCCAGUUGGCCAGGUAAAGCAGUCUAAAAGACCAUGCAGGUUCUGGAGCUUUCUGAGGGACCUUUUUGGGCUAAUGAAGCAGAUGAUGGACUUUCAGAGGAACACAGUGACGGCGUGCCCUCGGAGACCGUCUCAGCCUAACGCACCGGGUGUAGGACAGACGUGCUGUCUGGCCACACAACCAGGACAAGUCCUGGCCCACGGACCUGACGGACCUCAGCAAAACUGCCAUGCUUUAGCUCAGCCAGCCACACAGCAGAAAGAGGAGGCGCACCAGCCCAUGUGCUUAAAGCACUACUGGUCCCAGGAGAUAGCAGAGCUUCCUCGACCCAUCCAGCAUCCAGGUGAGUCUUUAGAAAUGAAACAAUUCAUUCUAACACAAUGUCUGGUUUUCAGUGAGUCGGAGAAGAGAGUGACUGAUAAGAAGCCAACAGGAAAGGUGUCUCCUCCGACAGGAAGUCCCACUCCAGAGCUCCGCCCUCAUCAGUGCAACACAACACAAUGGCCAGACACCUGGGUGUGGACACUUCCAUGCUCCGUAGAGCCAUCUGGAACUAUAUUCAGGGCAAGUUUGGGAUUCGGUCCAAGGCCAGGUGAAUCAUUAAAAAAAAGAAACACACUUCCACUUGUAUGUACGGAAUACGAUACGAUGACUACGGCUACAGCAGUGGGCGGUUUAACAUACGCUUCUGGCAUGUGUGCGCUGAGAUGCUGGACCAGAGGAGGACAGACAUGCUACGGCCCCUAUUUGUCAGAAGGGAGUUGGUGA